CCUACGGGUGACAGCAGUGGGGAAUAUUGCACAAUGGGGGAAACUCUGAUGCAGCGACGCCGCGUGAGCGAUGAAGUAUUUCGGUAUGUAAAGCUCUAUCAGCAGGGAAGAAAAUGACGGUACUUGCCUAAGAAUCCCCGGCUAACUACGUGCCAGCAGCCGCGGCAAUACGUAGGGGGCAAGCGUUAUCCGGAUUUACUGGUGGUAAGGGGAGCGUGGACGGUCCUGCAAGCCAGUUGUGAAAGCCCGGGGCUCAACCCCGGGACUGCAUUUGAAACUGUAAGGCUAGAGUGUAGGAGAGGCAGGCGGAAUUCCUAGUGGAGCGGUGGAAUGCGUAGAUAUUAGGAGGAACACCAGUGGCGAAGGCGGCCUGCUGGACGAUGACUGACGUUGAGGCUCGAAAGCGUGUGGAGCAAACAGGAUUAGAUACCCGAGUAGUC
rnacentral:rRNA from 1 species